rnacentral:lncRNA from 1 species
AAAAAGGCGGUAUGUGGUAAACGGGAUGGGUGGGUGUGGGGGUGGUUGGAAGGUCGAGCUGCUGGCCUAUUUUGGGUCAAUUUUGAGGCUUUUUUGGGUGUUUUUGAUGCUGGUUUUGGGGUUGGUUGUGGGGGUCUUUUGGGGUCUGAUUUUGGGGUCAAUUUGAUGCUUUUUGGGGCUGAUUUUGGUGUAGAUUUGAUGCUUUUUGGGGCUGAUUUAGGGGUCAAUUUGAUGCUGUUUUGGAGCCUGGUUUUGGGUCAUUUUGAUGCUUUUUCGGGGCUUGAUUUGGGGUGUUUCUGAUGUCCUCCGUUCCGGGCCCUGGUUUUGGGGUCGUUUGAUGCUUUGUUGGGGGCUGGUUUUGGGUCGGUUUUGAGUGCUUUUGGGGCUGAUUUUUGGGUCUUUGAUUGCUGGUUUGAGGUUGGUUUGGGGGUCUUUUGGAGGGCUGGUUUUGGGCGGUCAAUUUGAUGC